rnacentral:rRNA from 1 species
UACGUAGGGUGCGAGCGUUGUCCGGAAUUAUUGGGCGUAAAGAGCUCGUAGGCGGUGUGUCACGUCGGCCGUGAAAACCUGCAGCUUAACUGUGGGCGUGCGGUCGAUACGGGCAUCACUGGAGUUCGGCAGGGGAGACUGGAAUUCCUGGUGUAGCGGUGAAAUGCGCAGAUAUCAGGAGGAACACCGGUGGCGAAGGCGGGUCUCUGGGCCGAUACUGACGCUGAGGAGCGAAAGCGUGGGGAGCAAGCAGG